UCGAGAAUAUUUAGCAAUGGACGAAAGUCUGACUAUGCGACGCCGCGUGAGGGAUGACGUAUUUCGGUAUGUAAACCUCUUUCGAUGGGGAAGAAACUGCCUAUAGUAAUAUAGGAGCUGACGGUACCCAGAGAAGAAGCCAUGGCCAACUCCGUGCCAGCAGCCGCGGUAAUACGGGGAUGGCGAGCGUUACUCGGAUUUACUGGGUGUAAAGGGCAGGUAGGUGGCUUUGCAAGUUGAAGGUUAAAUCCUCUGACUUAAUCAGAGAACUGCCUUCAAAACUACAUUGCUUGAGGAUUGGAGAGGAAAGCGGAAUUCCCGGUGUAAGGGUGAAAUCUGUAGAUAUCGGGAGGAACACCAGUGGCGAAAGCGGCUUUCUGGCCAAUAUCUGACGCUAAUC
rnacentral:rRNA from 1 species